CGGGUCAGUGUCACCGUCACCCAGUGAGGGACAUUGGGGACAUCGGGGAUCCCUGGAGAUCAAUGGGAUCUGUGGGACCUAAAGGGUUCCAUGGCUUCAAAGAGUCCUAGAGACCCCAAAAUGUCCUACAGACCCUGAAAUGUCCUAGAGACCCCAAAGUGUUCUAUGGACCUCAAUGGGUUCCAUGGCCCUAAAAUGUCCUAGAGACCCCAAAAUGUCCUACAGACCCCAAAGUGUCCUAUGGACCUCAAUGGGUUCCAUGGCCCCAAAAUGUCCUACAGACCCCAAAAUGUCCUAGAGACCCCAAAAGAUCCUGCAGACCCCAAAGUUUUCUAUGGACCCCAAAGAGUCCUGCAGACCCCAAAAGGUCCUACAGACCCUAAUGGGUUCCAUGGCCCCAAAAUGUCCUGCAGACCCCAAAAUGUCCUGCACACCCCAA